rnacentral:lncRNA from 1 species
ACCAUGGGAUUGCAAUGCUUGUUGUUACUGCCGUUGUUGUUGUCAUUGCUGCGUCACUGACCGCCUUAUUACAACCAAAGGAAAAUUGGACUGAACUGACUACUUAUAUGCAUGUCAACUGCGAGUUACAAGAUUCCUAUCUAUGAUUCUUUUGCGACUUGAUCUUGGGUCUUAGCUGAUUGUGCUUGGAGACUUUGAUCCGAAUCUUGAUGCUUGCGAGUUGCGGCGACUUGUUCAAUCUUUGGGAUACUGAGUGAAACGCGACUGGCAGAGUUCAGGACCUUAAUCAAAUGUUGGAGUCGAUCCGCCUUCCAUUUACUCUGAUAUCUCGGGACAUCUUCUUUUUGUCUUUUUCUUCUUUGAUUCUAAGUUGAGACUCAUCUCGUGGGUCAUUUCGAUCCGUGUGGCUCGAGGUUAGACCUGCGGGAGAAAAACAAACGAACGAAAUUUUCUGCCCCAGUUUCACUAGGAAAAUUUCGUGAAUUAUUCGCCAGGAAGUUCAUAAAAUUGAUGAAGGAAGAUAAAAAUGCUCAGUUCAGGGUUGGAGCCCUAAUACCGACUAGCUGGGGAGAAGUUCGGUUUUAGAGUCGAAAUUCUGAUACUGACCAACUGGGGGAAAGUUUAGUUUAGGGUUUUAAAAACCCUGAUGCUGAUUAAGAGAAAAAGUUCAGUUUAGGGUUUAAAACCCUAAUGCUGACUAAAAGGAAAAAUUCAGUUUAGGGUUUAAAACCCUAAUGCUGAUUAAAGGAAAAAGGUCAGUUUAGGGUUUAAAACCCUAAUGCUGAUUAAAGGAAAAAGGUCAGUUUAGGGUUUAAAACCCUAAUGCUGAUUAAAGGAAAAAGGUCAGUUUAGGGUUUAAAACCCUAAUGUUGAUUAAAGGAAAAAGGUCAGUUUAGGGUUUAAAACCCUAAUGCUGACUGCAUGGAAAAGCUCAGUUUAGGGUUUAAAACCCUAAUGCUGGCUGAAUGAAAAAAAGUUCAGUUUAGGUUUUAAAACCCUAAUGUUGAUUAAAGGAAAAAGGUCAGUUUAGGGUUUAAAGCCCUAAUGCUAAUUAAAGGAAAAAGGUCAGUUUAGGGUUUAAAACCCUAAUGCUGAUUAAAGGAAAAAGGUCAGUUUAGGGUUUAAAACCCUAAUGCUGACUGCAUGGAAAAGCUCAGUUUAGGGUUUAAAACCCUAAUGCUGGCUGAAUGAAAAAAAGUUCAGUUUAGGGUUUAAAAUCCUGAUGCUGAUUAAAGGAAAAAGGUCAGUUUAGGGUUUAAAACCCUAACGCUGACUG